CCCACUGAGCCACCCAGGCGCCCCGAGGCUCAGGCUUCUGCCCCCUCCUCUGGGCUUGCUGGGCAGGCCAGAAGCAGAGGCCCAUGAGACGGGCUCCGCAGGGGAGGCAGGACACCUGAGCUGCGAUCUGGUGUGACUGGUCUGGCGCUGAAACCCUGUUCUUCCAGAGAAGGGCCCGUGUCUGCGGUGGGGGCUGGAAAAGUGGCUCCUCCCCCGCCUGCCGCAAGCCCUUCCCACCAUUGUUCCAGUCUCCGGAAUGCCCUUUUCAAACUUGAGAAGUUGCCUGUCCUUGACUUGGCCUGCACAUGGGCCUUUGAAGGUCUCCUUCUUCCCACCCUGGCAGGACCUGCUGGGCAGGAGAGUAGGAAGAACCCCAGGCCCUGAACGCCGGAGCCUCUGCUCUGGGCCUGCAUCAAGUAUGGGGACAGUCCAGGCUCCCAGGUGGCUCCGACACAGCCCAGUCCUGAGGACAGGGGCCGGCCUGCCUGCCAGGUCCCAGCCUCCCAAGGUGCUGAUGGCCUGGAGAAGGAGCAGAGGCAGUGGGGGGUUCACAUGGCUGUUUGCUUUUGGCAGUCAGGGCUGGUGGGUGGGUGUGAGCUGCAGAGAAGCUGUCUUUGGUGGCGGCGAGUGGAGAGGUUCAGAGGGAGGAGGUGAGGACACGCGCUGGAGUGGAGUGGCCGCGGGCCUUGGCACACCCCCUUCCCUGGGCACACACUCUGCCCUCACCCUCCCCCCCCCCCCCCGCACCCUCCCCUGCCCACAUGGGCUGGAGCUGCUGGAGCCGCCUCCCAGUUCCUGCCCUUUUGUCAGGAAAUGAUCAAAGGAGCCUCUAACCUGCCCACAUGUGCAUUUGUGCCUGGCCCAAGGGCCACAGAGGAGUCAGGCCCCGUGGGACAUCACCGUCUCCUGGAAGCGGGGGGGCAGGUGGCUCUGAACCUCGGGCCAGGGCCGGAGGUGGACAAUUUAAGGAAGCCACUGCCCUUAGAAGCCUCGGGGGCCUUCCUGUUAGUGCCUUGUAGGAAACAAGGGGAGGGAGAUGCUGAAGGGCCAGGUUCUUGACGCACCCGGCGCACCCUUCCUGCGCGCGGCUGUCCAGCACUGAGCCGGGUCGCCAGGGCACCCACACUGCCAGCUGGACAGCAGGUGGCCCACGACUCAGGCUCCCAGUCCCGCCCAGAGAGUCUCAAAAACCCAGGGCUGGGGGCAGUCUGAAGGAGACCCCAGAGGGGAGGCAGUGGCCAAGGCAGGACCUUUGGCACCUGGCUGUCCACAGACAAUGCCUCCCUGGGGAAGGGCAAGACGUGAGCGACAGGCCCACCAAGGCCCUGUCCCAACCCGAGGCUCCUGGAAUCAGAGCGGGGCUAGCUAGGGUGUGGCCUGCCCCAUGCCGCUUCCUUUCCCAGGUGUGUGGCCACCUCACCUGCGGCUGAAUCUGUGCGUGUCUGGACCAGGCUCGCCUGGCUUUGGUGGAAUGACUAAAGGUCCUCUGGUUCUCAGCCUGUUGGAGUCCCUAAGGUGUGACUUCCAAUCUGGUUGAAGGUAUGAUAAUGCCUGGCUGGUGAAAUGGUUGUGUCCUGCCAUUAGAUUCUGCUCGGGGCCCCCACUGCAUGGCUUGGGGACACAGGACAGGGGUCCUCUAAGGGGCUUCCUCCUCUCCAUGGAAUUCAAAGGGACCUCCUGGCUCUGUGGCACCAGAAAAUGGGAAUGCGGGAGCCUCUGGGACCCUGGCCGGUGACGGAGGGCAGGUCAUCAGCCGUUUGGAGUCAGCAGCUCUGGCCAUGCCCACCCCGUCUCAGGGAUGCUAAGUGCCUGAGGCCACAGGGCCCCUUAGGGCCUCCCCACUGCAAGCACCGGCCUCCUCCUCUCCAGUGCUCCUUCCAGAGGGCUUGGAGGCUGCUAGGGUUCCAAUGGGGUGCUAAUCGCAGGGCCCCGUCCCCGCCCUCUGGUUGGUGGGUGACCCAGACGGUCCAGUCAUGGUGUCCAUCAUCCCGCCCACAGCGACUGAACUAAGGGGCCACUGCUCCUGUGGAGCAGCUCAAGGUCUACCACGACAUCUGUCUUACGGUGUCAGUCAUCCCGAAAGCUAUGACAAGCUACCCAAACCGCUCCUGGAGCACACCUGAGAAUGAAGGCACCCCAGAGGCAAGCAGGGUGAGGGGUGGAGGGGGCGGAGCCCAGAAAGCAUCCUGGGAUCACCUGCAUCCGGUUGCACCUACGCUGAUCUCUGGACGUCCAGUCACGAGGGCCCGCGGCAUCUUGCUUGCUGAAGCGAGGUGAGUUGAUUGCCCUGUGUCCCCCCCCGAGGGAAUGGUGACUCUUGCCUCCCUGAGACAUUCAGGACAGUUCAGACCUUCGGACACCCGGCGCUGGUCCAUCUUUUCUUGCCUGGGGCGAGUCGGUCAUUCUCGUGGCAACACUCCCUGUCACCCUCCCCAUGACCUUUCCCUCUCCUGGGCCUCCACCUCCAGUUCCCUAGCACAGUGGUUCCCUGACCCGCUCCUGCGAGGGAGAGUUCAGAACUUUCUAGACAGGGUCGGGCUGCUCUCGGGGGAAGUUCCUUUGUGUCCACUUAACCAUAUGCGCAUGUUCAUUUGGUGACAGGCGUGCAAACAACUUCGGAGUUUCCGUCGCUUCGCAGAGGUGGUGGAAAACCUGAGUUAAUUUAAAAGCAGGUUGGAAAGGAUUUCCUACCUAGCCCCCCCCCCCCGCC